CCCCACGGGAUACAGCAGUAAUUAAAAUUAAGCAAUAAACGAAAGUUUGACUAAGUUAUGCAACAUUACAUAGGGUUGGUAAAUUUCGUGCCAGCCACCGCGGUCAUACGAUUAACCCUAAUUAAUAAAACCCGGCGUAAAGAGUGUUAAAAUUAUAAAAACAAUAAGAUUAAAUUUUAUCUAAGUCGUAAAAAACAACAGAUAAAAAUAAAACCAUAAACGAAAGUAAUCUUAAUAAACCUGAAUACACUAAAGCUAAGACCCAAACUGGGAUUAGAUACCCCACUAUGCUUAGCCAUAAACACAGAUAUUUAAUAACAAAAAUUUUCGCCAGAGUACUACUAGCAACAGCUUAAAACUCAAAGGACUUGGCGGUGCUUUAAACCCACCUAGAGGAGCCUGUUCUAUAAUCGAUAAACCCCGAUAUACCUCACCACUUCUUGCUAAUCCAGUCUAUAUACCGCCAUCUCCAGCAAACCCCAACAGGGAUUAAAAGUAAGCACAAUUAUGCUCAUAAAAACGUUAGGUCAAGGUGUAACUAAUGAAGUGGAAAGCAAUGGGCUACAUUUUCUUCUCCCAAGAAAAUAAUAACAGUAAUCUUUAUGAAACUAAUGAUUUAAGGAGGAUUUAGUAGUAAAUUAAGAAUAGAGAGCUUAAUUGAAUUAGGCAAUAAAGCACGCACACACC
rnacentral:rRNA from 1 species